UUAGCUUAGCUGGUAGAACGCCGCGUUUGAGAGAACGGGGGCGCGGGUUCGAAUCCCG
rnacentral:tRNA from 1 species